GAACUGCUUCGUCCUAAGAGGAAA
rnacentral:misc_RNA from 1 species